UAGGGAAUCUUCGGCAAUGGACGAAAGUCUGACCGAGCAACGCCGCGUGAGUGAAGAAGGUUUUCGGAUCGUAAAACUCUGUUGUUAGAGAAGAACAAGGACGUUAGUAACUGAACGUCCCCUGACGGUAUCUAACCAGAAAGCCACGGCUAACUACGUGCCAGCAGCCGCGGUAAUACGUAGGUGGCAAGCGUUGUCCGGAUUUAUUGGGCGUAAAGCGAGCGCAGGCGGUUUCUUAAGUCUGAUGUGAAAGCCCCCGGCUCAACCGGGGAGGGUCAUUGGAAACUGGGAGACUUGAGUGCAGAAGAGGAGAGUGGAAUUCCAUGUGUAGCGGUGAAAUGCGUAGAUAGAUGGAGGAACACCAGUGGCGAAGGCGGCUCUCUGGUCUGUAACUGACGCUGAGGCGCGAAAGCGUGGGGAGCAAACAGG
rnacentral:rRNA from 1 species